rnacentral:rRNA from 1 species
UACGUAGGUGGCAAGCGUUGUCCGGAUUUAUUGGGUUUAAAGGGUGCGUAGGCGGUCCUAUAAGUCAGUGCUGAAAUAUCCCGGCUUAACCGGGAGGGUGGCAUUGAUACUGCAGGACUGAGUGAAGUCGAAGUAGGCGGAAUUGACGGUGUAGCGGUGAAAUGCUUAGAUAUCGUCAAGAACACCGAUAGUGAAGACAGCUUACUAGACUUCAACUGACGCUGAGGCGCGAAAGUGUGGGGAUCAAACAGG